UGGCUACAAAAUAACUUAUUUUGUAGCCACUUUGAGUUACGAUAAUUAAUAUAUUAAUUUAUAAGAUUAUAAUAACUCCUUACUAAGUGGUUUACUAUAAUAUUACGGUAAAUAUCCCCAUGUAUUAUAGUAACUCAACUAUCGUAAAUAUGUAUACAUAUUAUCGUAAAUUAGUAUAUAAAAUUAUCGUAAAUGGAGGUGGCUACAGAAUAACUUAUUUUGUAGCUA
rfam:Sorghum bicolor cultivar BTx623 chromosome 6, whole genome shotgun sequence.